CAGCCGCCACGGUAAUACGGAGGGUGCGAGCGUUACCCGGAAUCACUGGGCGUAAAGGGCGCGUAGGCGGCAUGUUAAGUCUGGUUUUAAAGACAGGGGCUCAACCCCUGGAGUGGACUGGAUACUGGCACGCUUGACCUCUGGAGAGGUAACUGGAAUUUCUGGUGUAGCGGUGGAAUGCGUAGAUACCAGAAGGAACACCAAUGGCGAAGGCAAGUUACUGGACAGAAGGUGACGCUGAGGCGCGAAAGUGUGGGGAGCGAACCGGAUUAGAUACCCCCGUAGUCCCUGUCUCUUAUAU
rnacentral:rRNA from 1 species